rnacentral:lncRNA from 1 species
GCCGGACCAAAUUUGGAUUCUCCAGUUCUGUAUCCUUCUCCUGAACGGGGUUAGAAGUUUCAACCCCCACCUCUAGCGGAAUUGAAAUUGAGGUACUGCUGCUGCUUUCAACCACCUCUUCAGACGAGGAGGAUGACAAAAUCACUUGACGACUUUGCCUAGUGUUGCAGGCCGGUGCAUUAGAACCUUGUGAUGGGCCAUGCCCAGCUUAUUGGCCUCUGCCCCUGCCUCUGGAUUAUGGUAAUUUGGGAGCGAUGGCACCUAAAAAUGUAGCAUUUAUCAGUGUACAGACUUAAACAAGAAGAAGGAAAUUAUUCUGAGCAGCGACGGUUAAAGUCGACAAUCCAUCAACCCCUACCAUCAGGUUAUUCCAUUAACUCUAAUUCUGAGAAAUUUACGACGGUCUAAGGCGACAGUCUGUCGGGUAUACGAUGGUCUAUCGACCCCUACCGUCAGGGUUAUUCCAGUGAGUCAGUUUCUGAGACAAGUGUGACGGUGUCAGGCGAUGGUUCGUCAGGUAUCCGAUGGUUCGUCGCGAGUACCGUCGCCUACAAAUUUUAAAUUGAAGUCUCACUUUGGUAUUUUGUCGAACACCUUGUGCACACUUACUAUAUACAUGAUUUUUAUGGCAUUUUUAUCAACAACACAUCACCACAAUUUGCUAUUUUUGGUCUAUGGGUUACUUAGACUUCCCCCAGGACAGUUUAGGCUAGGUUUUGACUAAAAAUCAUGAACAUACAUUACCAAGAAAAAUAGAGAAGAAACAACAUUUGUUCACAUAAUUGUAUUCGCCUAUUUGAUUUGAUCAUCAUGUUGAAGAAAUAUAGAAAGAAAAAGGAAAUACAUACCUUGUUGUUUCAGUAUUUGUUCACUACUAGGACCUUGUACAGUGCACUUCGAACAACAGAUGAAUAUUUGUUUUAUAGAAGAGAACUUUAGUUGCCUUGUGAUGAAAAGAGAAAGAGAAGAAAAGUCCUUUAAAUAGAAGGAAUAGGGAAGAUGGGGAGUUAUAGGGGCGAAUGAAAAGGCACAGGGGCAUUGAAUAGGUGGGAGUUAUUUAACCGCUUUAAAUUAUCAAUUUAAAACCAUUUGGAUCGGAUAAGAAUAAAAAAUCGGCUAUUUAAAUUCAUCCACCUGACCCGUUAACCUAGGGUUAAGUGCGAUGGUCCGUCGCGUCCUCAACGGUCCAUCGGUUAUUCCAUCGCGACUAACCAGUGAACUCAC